rnacentral:rRNA from 1 species
UACGUAGGGUGCAAGCGUUGUCCGGAAUUAUUGGGCGUAAAGAGCUCGUAGGCGGUUUUGUCGCGUCUGCUGUGAAAACCCGAGGCUCAACCUCGGGCCUGCAGUGGGUACGGGCAGACUAGAGUGCGGUAGGGGAGAUUGGAAUUCCUGGUGUAGCGGUGGAAUGCGCAGAUAUCAGGAGGAACACCGAUGGCGAAGGCAGAUCUCUGGGCCGUAACUGACGCUGAGGAGCGAAAGCGUGGGGAGCGAACAGG